AAGUCGAACGAGAACUCCCGAAGCUUGCUUUGGGAAAGUAAAGUGGCGAACGGGUGAGUAACGCGUGGGUAAUCUAUCCUUGAAUUCGGGAUAACUGACCGAAAGGUGAGCUAAUACCGGGUAACAUCGCAUUUGCCUUGGCGGAUGCGAUCAAAGGCAGCCUCUGCAUGUAAGCUGUUGUUCGGGGAGGAGCCCGCGUACCAUUAGCUUGUUGGUGGGGUAAGAGCUUACCAAGGCGACGAUGGUUAGCUGGUCUGAGAGGAUGAUCAGCCACACUGGAACUGACACACGGUCCAGACUCCUACGGGAGGCAGCAGUGAGGAAUUUUGCGCAAUGGGGGAAACCCUGACGCAGCAACGCCGCGUGAGUGAAGAAGGCCUUCGGGUCGUAAAGCUCUGUCGAGUGGGAAGAACCUGUGGCAUGUUAAUGACAUGUCGCACUGACGGUACCAUUAGAGGAAGCACCGGCUAACUCCGUGCCAGCAGCCGCGGUAAUACGGAGGGUGCGAGCGUUAUUCGGAAUUAUUGGGCGUAAAGGGCGAGUAGGCGGCCUUGUAAGUCAGAUGUGAAAGCACGGGGCUUAACCCCGGAAGUGCAUUUGAAACUACGGGGCUUGAGUAUGGGAGAGGGAAGUGGAAUUCCUGGUGUAGCGGUGAAAUGCGUAGAUAUCAGGAGGAACACCGGUGGCGAAGGCGACUUCCUGGACCAAUACUGACGCUGAGGCGCGAAGGCGUGGGGAGCAAACAGGAUUAGAUACCCUGGUAGUCCACGCAGUAAACGGUGAUCACUAGGUGUAACGGGUAUUGACCCCUGCUGUGCCGCAACUAACGCCUUAAGUGAUCCGGCUGGGGAGUACGGCCGAAAGGUCAAAACUCAAAGGGAUUUGACGGGGGCCCGCACAAGCGGUGGAGCAUGUGGUUUAAUUCGACGCAACGCGAAGAACCUUACCUGGAUUUGACAUCCCGGGAAUCCUUAUGAAAAUUUGGAGUGCCCUUCGGGGAGCCUGGAGACAGGUGCUGCAUGGCUGUCGUCAGCUCGUGUCGUGAGAUGUUGGGUUAAGUCCCGCAACGAGCGCAACCC
rnacentral:rRNA from 1 species